GCCCCAAAAUUAGAUAUCCUUAACCCAAUAUUUUAUAAAAUGUUUAGCAUUAGCUUGUUAAUGUCCCUGAGAAAUUGCAUUGAGAAGAUUAGGUUUUUUUGACAUCUCAAAAAAUAGAGAAUUUCAAAACAACUCUUCUGAACUUAUCAGAUGAUCAGACGCUUUCUGUUUGGUGCCAUAAAUCACAACACUUGCUUUUUAAGUAAUUUUUGUACACUUUGAGUAAACUUGAUUUAAUGCUGAUAUACUUGCCUUUUUAUUUAAGGAGUAUUCACAAACUUCCUGGAAAUGCAUAUUAUUAAAAUAGUUUGAGUGCUUCAAAAUCUUUUUUGCAGCAAAAUAAACUGAUUUUUCAGUCCUAUUUUCCACAAACUAUUCAAAGUACCAUCCCAUAAAUAUGAGUAGAAUGAACUUGUGUUUUUUUCUUAUUGUGGUAAAUUUCAUAUCACAUAAAAUUGACUCAGCCAUUUUUAGAAAAUGAAAUUCAGAAAUGCUUCAUCGAUUUGAGGUAUUGUGAAAUAGUCGCAAUGAUAGAGUUUCAGAACUUUUUCAUGACAUCACAAGGAGACCCAAUACCCAUUAAGCAGUUCGCUCUGUUCCCCUCUCGCUUCCUAUAACCAUUGACAAACACACUUGUUGUUUUUCCUGGAAUUUCCUAUGUUGGCAUUUCACAUAAAUGGAAUAAUGUAAUAUGUUACCUUUUGUUACUGGUUGCUGCUUUUUAGAAUGCUGUUUCCAAGAUCCAUCCCCGUUGUGGUAUCUAUCAGUGCUUACUUUUAUAGCUGCAUAAUAUUCCAUCAUGAGUAGAUAACAAAUGUCAUUUAUCUAUUAAUGAGUUGGUAGGCCACUUGAGGUUUUUCCCAUCCAUUUAAAUAAUAAUGCUAUUAACAGUCACAUACAGAUUUUGUAAGUAUGGAUGGAUUUCACAUUUUUUUUGUGCCAACAUUAAAGGCUUUUAAUUGCACUUUAUACAAACUUUUUCAAGUACCACACAUCUGGGAAGAUUGGGCCUGA
rnacentral:lncRNA from 1 species